GAAUUCAGGAAGUAAAAGUCGUAACAAGGUAGCUGUAGGUGAACCUGCUGCUGGAUCAUUA
rnacentral:ncRNA from 1 species